UUUGACGUUAGCGACAGAAGAAGCACCGGCUAACUCCGUGCCAGCAGCCGCGGUAAUACGGAGGGUGCGAGCGUUAAUCGGAAUUACUGGGCGUAAAGCGCAUGCAGGUGGUUUGUUAAGUUCAGAUGUGAAAGACCCGGGGCGUCAACCUCGGAAUAGCAUUUGAAACUGGCAGACUAGAGUACUGUAGAGGGGGGUAGGAAGUUUCAGGUGUAGCGGUGAAAUGCGUAGAGAUCUGAAGGAAUACCGGUGGCGAAGGCGGCCCCCUCGGACAGAUACUGACACUCAGAUGCGAAAGCGUGGGGAGCAAACAGGAUUAGAUACCCUGGUAG
rnacentral:rRNA from 1 species